rnacentral:rRNA from 1 species
CAAGUCGAACGGUAACAGGGAGCUUGCUCCGCUGACGAGUGGCGAACGGGUGAGUAAUACAUCGGAACGUGCCCAGUAAUGGGGGAUAGCUCGGCGAAAGCCGGAUUAAUACCGCAUACGCCCUGAGGGGGAAAGUGGGGGACCGCAAGGCCUCACGUUAUUGGAGCGGCCGAUGGCUGAUUAGCUAGUUGGUAGGGUAAAGGCCUACCAAGGCGACGAUCAGUAGCUGGUCUGAGAGGACGAUCAGCCACACUGGGACUGAGACACGGCCCAGACUCCUACGGGAGGCAGCAGUGGGGAAUUUUGGACAAUGGGGGAAACCCUGAUCCAGCAAUGCCGCGUGUGCGAAGAAGGCCUUCGGGUUGUAAAGCACUUUUGUCAGGGAAGAAAUCCUUUGGGCUAAUACCCUAGGGGGAUGACGGUACCUGAAGAAUAAGCACCGGCUAACUACGUGCCAGCAGCCGCGGUAAUACGUAGGGUGCAAGCGUUAAUCGGAAUUACUGGGCGUAAAGCGUGCGCAGGCGGUUGUGUAAGACAGGUGUGAAAUCCCCGGGCUUAACCUGGGAAUUGCAUUUGUGACUGCACGACUAGAGUGUGUCAGAGGGGGGUGGAAUUCCACGUGUAGCAGUGAAAUGCGUAGAUAUGUGGAGGAACACCAAUGGCGAAGGCAGCCCCUGGGAUAACACU